UCUGGCUCUUCAUUUACACUUUGCCCAGCAAUUCUGUUUCUGAAGAGCUCGUUUGCUUCUCCAACACUUCUUUUCCUAAGAUGCUGCUAAGUCACCCUGCCCACGUAACUCUCGUCUCCCAGGAAUUCAGCUGAGCCACGUCCCUUCUGCAUGCAGCAGCCCAGACGCUGUGAUAUGGCCUCGAAGUAGCCAAGAAUAAAUGGAAUCUUAUUAUUGUCCCACCAGAGACCAGCAAAUGCACUGCUAAAUCAUUCCAGCAGCUUGCCUUUCUGAUAAGGGUACAUCAGAUUCCCACAACAGCUCUGCUCAGGGAUGGAGUGAUGUCUGCAGAAUGAAUAGCAAGCUUACAGCUCCAUCUGCUCCAGGACCGUGUAGUGCUGUCACACAGAAUGCUUUUCAUCCUCAGAGCCUUCUAUGGAGAUUAAUUCUCCCGGCACGGAGAGAGGGUCAUUGCACUGGCUUCGGACACGGCUCCAGGAGCUGCUCCUGCACGUCCACCUCGGCCAUCCCGGCUCUCCUCCCUUUUCCGUGCGGGUUGGCGGCGCUGACCACGGCGUACGAGCAACAUUAGGAAAACACCGGGAAGAAAUAAAAGCCUGGCGUGCUGGCGUAACCUUGCUUCACCUCUCUGCUACCUCAGAGACACCAAACACCUCAGCGGGUGCCACCUCAGCGGGUGCCACUUCGGGGAUCAACUCCGCCAGGCUCCACCACCAGCAGCAGCCCCCAGCCGGGCCUCGCACCCUCGGCCUCCCGGAGGCCCGGCAGAUCCCAGCACCUCACCCCAGGCCCUAACACCCCCACCCCGGCUCCGGCUUCCUCACAGCCCCCCGCAGCCCCUCGCAACCCCUCGCGGCCCCUCGCCUCGCCUCGGGCCCGC